rnacentral:rRNA from 1 species
GACGAACGCUGGCGGCGCGCUUAACACAUGCCAGUCGAACGGAAAGGCCUGCUUUCCCUUGUGGAUUGCGGGUACUCGAGUGGCGAACGGGUGCGUAACACGCGAGUGAACUGCCCCCAACUUGGGUAUAAGCCCGGGAACCUGGGUCUAAUUCUCGAUAGAACCGCAGGGUGGUGUCUGUGGUGGCAAACGAUUUUCUAGUGGUUGGGGAUGCGCUCCCGGCGUAUCUGCUUGUUGGGGGGGUAAUGGCCUACCAAGGCGGCGACGGGUAGCCAGCGGGGGAGGGUGCACGGCCGCAUUGAGACUCGGUUACGGCCCAGACGGCUACGAGCAGCAGGAGUGGUGAAGAUUGCACAAUAGGCGGGAGCCUGAUGCAGCGACGGCGCGUGGGAGAUGACGGCCUUCUGGUAGUAAACUCCUUGCGACCGCGAGGAAUCCACCUGGUUGGAAGGGUGGUGACGGUAGUGGUAGAAGAAGCACCGGCUAACUACGUG